CCAAGGAGUCUAACAUGUAAGCGAGUCGUCGAGUCGUUUAUGAAACUUGAGAGGCGCAAUGAAAGUAAAGCAGCCCCGAUGAGGGUGUUCUGCGAGGGAUGAUCCCGUCUUUUUUUUAAACCGAAGCGGGCGCAGUCCCAGGGCGUGCGAAGCCGCGACCUUGAGUCGGCCGUACGAACCCAGAGCUUACACGUUGGGACCCGAAAGAUGGUGACCUAUGCCUGGCCAGGACGAAGCCAGGGGAAACCCUGGUGGAGGUCCGCAGCGAUUCUGACGUGCAAAUCGAUCGUCGGAGUUGGGUAUAGGGGCGAAAGACUAAUCGAACCAUCUAGUAGCUGGUUCCCCCCGAAGUUCCCUCAGGAUAGCUGGUGCUCGCAGAGUAGACGAACGGAGUUUCAUCCGGUAAAGCGAAUGAUUAGAGGCCUUGGGGUCGAAACGACCUCAACCUAUUCUCAAACUUUCAAUGGGUGAGAAGCCCGGCCUCUUUUAAAAUUUUUGAUAAGGCCGGGCAUUACGAAUCUGAGCGCCCAGUGGGCCAUUUUUGGUAAGCAGAACUGGCGCUGUGGGAUGAACCAAACGCCCGGUUAAGGCGCCUAAACAACGCACAUUUCGGAUCCCACGAAAAGGAGUUGGUUGCUAAAGACAGCAGGACGGUGGCCAUGGAGGUCGGAAUCCGCUCAGGAGUGUGUAACAACUCACCUGCCGAAGCAACUAGCCCUUAAAAUGGGAGGCGCUAUAGCGUUGUGCCUAUACCGGGCCGCCGGCCGGCAGUGAAACGUACUUUUCUCGAAGAGAGAUGUAAGACGCUGAGGCCCCGGCGAGUAGGGGGGUCGCGACGGUGCGCGUUGAAGGGUUGUGGGCGUGAGCCUGCCUGGAGCCGCCGUCGGUGCAGAUCUUGGUGGUAGUAGCAAAUACU
rnacentral:rRNA from 1 species